AAUGUGCGAUAGACUUACCUCCACGCGGUGCACAAUGGGUAACGUAUACUCAUACGGCAAAUAUGUCUAU
rnacentral:ribozyme from 1 species